rnacentral:lncRNA from 1 species
UGAAACCACGUCAUCAACCUGGGUUCUCUGCCACCAAUUCCUGUGCCCUUUCUACUAUACAUUCUUUCCAGAAACAGUUGGGGACCUUUUUCAGUGAAUUGUCUAUAGUAACAGUGCCUCUGCUGUAGAUGGGGAUAGAUCUGACAGUAAGCAAGAGGUAACCUCACUUCAUGUUCUCUUGAGUUGGUUAAGGAAGGAUGAUGAAAUAUGGAUGCCCAGGGAUGGCUGAAACUUUCGUGUCCCUGUGAACUAAUAGUUGUAAAACAAUUUUUUAACAUUUAUUUAGAGGAAAGGCUGAGCACUAAGUGCACGAAGGAGGACAGAGAGGACUCCAGGUGGCUUCUCCAGCUGUCAUUGCCUUGCUGUUCUCUGGACUUCAUGGCCUUGGAAGAAGUACGGCUGCUCUGGUGUGCCAGGAACAUGCAGGCCUUUUGGAAGAGUUCGUCAUCAGCAUUCCUUUCAAUCACAACAUAUCUUCCUCCCCAGAAGAGUUCUGGAAGAAGAGGAGAAAGAAAAACUGGAAAAAGAGACUGGCUCAUAAAAAUAGUGGCCAUUGUACAGAUUAGGAAAAAUAAGUUGCUUUAAAAUCACUGUUAUUGGCAACCAAAUAAAUAUAUAGUACAAUCACUUUGUGAUGUUUUC